GAAAGAGACAGAAGGCCAUGGAAGACAGAAAAAAGGGAAGGAGGAGCACCAGAGGGAGUUGAUGGCAGUGAGAAUUCUUCAAUCCACUUGGCUGAUUAGGGCUGCUUGCAAGAUACCAGAGUUCCCUUACGGAAAGGGCCAAAUUGAAACUGAUAUUAGAGGAAAGAAACUCUCUUCGGUCUCUAACCUUACAAUAAGCUUUCACAAGUCAAAGCUGUUGGAGCCUGGGACAUACAGCACGGAAGAUGACUGAAGGAUCCACUGCUCUGCUGUGUCUGGACAGCUGCCUCAUGAGGCUUAGAGACGGAGGGGCCGAGACGGUCCAAGAACACAAGUCGACUCAUGGAAAAGACCAGAGACGAGGUGCAGGCUCAUGAACAACUCCAUCUUGAAGCAGCA